GUGGAAUCUUCAGCCGUUGGAACGUCCUGUGGUAUUAUCAGAAAUUCCCUUUCCAAGUCUGCUGAGCUCCUGAUGCCCAGGAUGUGCUCUAUCAGAGGGGAAGUGGUCAGUUAUAACAGGAUUUCGUGUUCACUCUGCCAGUUGCCCAGAUAAAAGCAAUGUUUAAUUAUACAGCAGCCCUGAAAGGAGAUGCAGGAGAUCCUCCUGUGAUGGAGAUCGCACCGCUCCCAGAAGGAUGCCAGUGAUGAGGCUGAUUCCUUGCUGGCAAAACCUUUGCUUAUCCAGGAGCAAUUUGGCUGAAUCCACCAUCUUAUUUGACAGGUGUUCAGCAAUCCAAACAGAAAUUAGAGAGUCACAGACUCUUUGGGUUGGAAAAGGCCUUUAAGAUCAUCAAGUCCAAAUGCUUCUUCCAAGGCAAACAGCAGUGACAGAUGCACAGGCUGUUAUUAUAUUUAGUUCUUUGUCUGAGAGGGCCAGACUGGGUGGAGGUAGCUGAGUGCACACAGUGGAUGGAGCUCAGGUAUGAUGGAAGGGAGAUAUUGUCUGUUUAAGAGUUAAAUUUAAAAGGCAGGAGAUUGAUAACUGAUAAACAGGGUUUUACCAGGCACUGUCCAACGGUGCUUGUCACCACGAGAGCCAAGUACUUCACGAGAGUGGAAGAGGGACUGGGCACUUUUAUGGAUAUCAAGCAUAUCCAGAGUAAUGAUUAACUAUAUCAAUUUUUGUACUGUAAUUAGAAUAAUUUUUCAUGCUUCAGGGCUUGAACCAAUUUCUGUAUAUGAGAGACCAGGAAGAGAUUUAUGGCAGAAACAGAUUAAAGGCAUGUGCACACAGCAAAGCUCCAGCCUUUUCUUCUGACACAUCUACUGUUCCAGGACAAGGUCCUGGGCUGGGAUGGACCCUGGGUCUGCCU